CAGCGCCACGAGUGGGGAUCCUGUUUAUUUGGCCUAAAGCGUCCGUAGCUGGUUUAGUAAAUCUUCUGUGAAAUCGUUGUGCCUAACACAACGGCGUGCAGAAGAGACUGCUAAGCUUGGAACCGGGAGGAGUUAGAAGUAUUUUAGGGGGAGCGGUAAAAUGCUAUAAUCCCUGAAGGACUAUCUGUGGCGAAGGCGUCUAACUAGAACGGAUUCGACGGUGAGGGACGAAAGCUAGGGGAGCAAACCGGAUUAGAUACCCGAGUAGUCC
rnacentral:rRNA from 1 species